rnacentral:rRNA from 1 species
GUAUACNAAUAGAUAUUAAUUAAUAUUAUUGGUUUAUAAAGUUUAUUUUUAUUUUGAAUUUAAUAUAUUUAUUUUUGGGUGAAAUAUUAAAUAUUUAAUAAAUUUGUUUUAGAUUCUUUGAAAUAUAAAAUUUAAACUAGGAUUAGAUACCCUAUUAUUUUAUGUGUUAAUUUUAAGCCAGGGUAAUAAUAGAUAUGUUCUUUAAACCUAAAGAAUUUGGCGGUGUUUUAGUCUAUUCAGAGGAAUUUGUCCCUUAAUCGAUAGUCCGCGUUUUAAUUGUUCUUAAUUUUGUUGUCAGUAUGUAUACCGCCGUUAUAAGUUUAUUUUAUUAGGAUUUUUAUUUACUAAUUUUUUAAUUAGAAUUUAUUUC